ensembl:lncRNA
GGGAAGGCGGCGCGGCCACGCCCUUCGCUGUGGAGAGCCGCGCCCGGGUCCGCCCCACAGCCCGCGGCUGCCCCAUAGCCGCCCCAUAUCCGCCCCAUAGCUGCCUCAGAGCCGCCCUAUAGCCGCCCCAUGGUGGCAUAGGGAUCCACCCCUGUGCUCCACGGCGCCCCAUAGCGGUUUCGUCGCCUCCGAAGGACAGCAGCGGCCGCAGCCCCCCCUUCCCCCCCAUUCACUGCGUUCCCCUCUUUGAGUCCGCCCCGAGGGGAGGGGGUGUGGGAAAAAGGGGCGGAGCCUCCGCCCGCGCGGGAGAGAUCUCUCAGCCAAUCGAAGAGAAGGAGCGGUUCCCACGGUUCCAUUGAUGAAAAAAGGCGAAGAGGGACCUUUCCUUGGAAGCCCUCCCCGGCGGGGGGGGGGGCUGUUAAACUUGGGGGGGGGCUCAGUGUGAGAGAGGGAGGGUCCCAAAGGGGAUCAGUGUGAUUGGGGG